UACGUAGGUGACGAGCGUUAUCCGGAAUUACUGGGCGUAAAGCGCACGCAAGCGGUUGGACAAGUCUGGCGUGAAAUCCUCUGGCUUAACCAGGGGCGGUCGCUGGAGACUGUUCGGCUUGAGGCGAUGAGAGGGGUGCAGAAUUCCCGGUGUAGUGGUGGAAUGCGUAGAGAUCGGGAGGAAUACCAGUGGCGAAGGCGGCAUCCUGGACUGGUCCUGACACUCAGGAGCGAAAGCGUGGGGAGCGAUCCGG
rnacentral:rRNA from 1 species